CCAAAAAGCGGAGGAAAAGAAACUAACAAGGAUUCCCCUAGUAACGGCGAGUGAAGCGGGAAGAGCUCAAAUUUGAAAUCUGGCAGUCUUCGAUUGUCCGAGUUGUAAUCUAUAGAGGCGUUUUCCGUGCCGGACCGUGUCCAAGUCUCCUGGAAAGGAGUAUCAAAGAGGGUGAUAAUCCCGUACUUAACACGACCACCGGUGCUCUGUGAUACGUCUUCUACGAGUCGAGUUGUUUGGGAAUGCAGCUCAAAAUGGGUGGUGAAUUCCAUCUAAAGCUAAAUAUUGGCGAGAGACCGAUAGCGAACAAGUACCGUGAGGGAAAGAUGAAAAGCACUUUGGAAAGAGAGUUAAACAGUACGUGAAAUUGUUGAAAGGGAAACGAUUGAAGUCAGUCGUGUUCUUUGGAUUCAGCCAGUUCUGCUGGUCUACUUCCUUGGAACGGGUCAACAUCAGUUUUGUCCGGUGGAUAAAGGUAGUAGGAAUGUGACUUCUCCGGAAGUGUUAUAGCCUAUUAUCACAUACACUGGGUGAGACUGAGGACUGCAGCUCGCCUUUAUGGCCGGCCUUCGGGCACGUUCGAGCUUAGGAUGUUGACAUAAUGGCUUUAAACGACCCGUCUUAA
rnacentral:rRNA from 1 species